rnacentral:rRNA from 1 species
GAUGAACGCUGGUGGCGUGCCUAAUACAUGCAAGUCGAGCGAACAGACGAGGAGCUUGCUCCUCUGACGUUAGCGGCGGACGGGUGAGUAACACGUGGAUAACCUACCUAUAAGACUGGGAUAACUUCGGGAAACCGGAGCUAAUACCGGAUAAUAUAUUGAACCGCAUGGUUCAAUAGUGAAAGACGGUUUUGCUGUCACUUAUAGAUGGAUCCGCGCCGCAUUAGCUAGUUGGUAAGGUAACGGCUUACCAAGGCAACGAUGCGUAGCCGACCUGAGAGGGUGAGCGGCCACACUGGAACUGAGACACGGUCCAGACUCCUACGGGAGGCAGCAGUAGGGAAUCUUCCGCAAUGGGCGAAAGCUUGACGGAGCAACGCCGCGUGAGUGAUGAAGGUCCUCGGAUCGUAAAACUCUGUUAUUAGGGAAGAACAAAUGUGUAAGUAACUAUGCACGUCUUGACGGUACCUAAUCAGAAAGCCACGGCUAACUACGUG